AUCCUAUUGAUGAGUCUCAAAUAGGACGAAACGUGCGUCCUGAAU
rnacentral:hammerhead_ribozyme from 1 species